rnacentral:rRNA from 1 species
CUUAAAUUGAAGAGUUUGAUCAUGGCUCAGAUUGAACGCUGGCGGCAGGCCUAACACAUGCAAGUCGAGCGGAAACGAGUUAUCUGAACCUUCGGGGAACGAUAACGGCGUCGAGCGGCGGACGGGUGAGUAAUGCCUAGGAAAUUGCCCUGAUGUGGG